CCUACGGGAGGCAGCAGUAAGGAAUAUUGGUCAAUGGAGGCAACUCUGAACCAGCCAUGCCGCGUGCAGGAUGACGGCCCUAUGGGUUGUAAACUGCUUUUAUACAAGAGAAAACCCUGGUACGUGUACCAGGUUGAUAGUAUUGUAAGAAUAAGCAUCGGCUAACUUCGUGCCAGCAGCCGCGGUAAGACGAAGGAUGCAAGCGUUAUCCGGAUUCAUUGGGUUUAAAGGGUGCGUAGGCGGACUGAUAAGUCAGUGGUGAAAUCUCUUUGCUUAACAAAGAAACUGCCAUUGAUACUGUCGGUCUAGAGUAUAGAUGACGUUGGCGGAAUAUGACAUGUAGUGGUGAAAUACUUAGAUAUGUCAUAGAACACCGAUUGCGAAGGCAGCUAACGAAACUAUAACUGACGCUGAGGCACGAAAGUGCGGGGAUCAAACAGGAUUAGAUACCCUGGUAGUCCGCACCGUAAACGAUGAUUACUCGUUGUUGGCGAUAUGACAGUCAGCGACCAAGCGAAAGCGAUAAGUAAUCCACCUGGGGAGUACGCCGGCACGGUGAAACGUCAAAUGAAUUGACGG
rnacentral:rRNA from 1 species